GGCUUAACACAUGCAAGUCGAGGGGUAGAAGUCUUCGGACUUUGAGACCGGCGCACGGGUGCGUAACGCGUAUGCAAUCUGCCUUUCACAGAGGGAUAGCCCAGAGAAAUUUGGAUUAAUACCUCAUAGUAUAAUCAAACCGCAUGGUUCGAUUAUUAAAGUCACAACGGUGAAAGAUGAGCAUGCGUCCCAUUAGCUAGUUGGUAAGGUAACGGCUUACCAAGGCAACGAUGGGUAGGGGUCCUGAGAGGGAGAUCCCCCACACUGGUACUGAGACACGGACCAGACUCCUACGGGAGGCAGCAGUGAGGAAUAUUGGUCAAUGGGCGCAAGCCUGAACCAGCCAUGCCGCGUGCAGGAUGACGGUCCUAUGGAUUGUAAACUGCUUUUGUACGGGAAGAAACACUCCGACGUGUCGGAGCUUGACGGUACCGUAAGAAUAAGGAUCGGCUAACUCCGUGCCAGCAGCCGCGGUAAUACGGAGGAUCCAAGCGUUAUCCGGAAUCAUUGGGUUUAAAGGGUCCGUAGGCGGUC
rnacentral:rRNA from 1 species